GGCGGGGUAGCUCAGUCGGUAGAGCAGGGGACUGAAAAUCCCCGUGUCGGCGGUUCGAUUCCGUCCCCCGCCACCA
rnacentral:tRNA from 2 species